rnacentral:lncRNA from 1 species
UCCUGCUAAUUGACUUGGAAGAACGCUCCAUUUAAGUUCCAAAUGUACCGAAUAUCACCAAUAGUACAUUACAUGCCACAACCACCAACCUACACAUAAAAUAACAUACCACAAGUAAAAAUGCACAUGUUUACAAGAAUAGAGCAACAAAUAAGCAUGAAUUAGAUAUGAAAUUGCGUAUAUAAAAUACACUUAUCAAAAUUCCCCAAACUUAAACCGUGCUAGUCCUCGAGCACAAGAAAAUUACACGCAAUGCAAUGAUAUGAAUACGACCUACUUUUUAUGAUAUUCAACCCAACAAUAUUGUAGAAUCAAAAUUAUCUUAAUGGCCUCAGCGAAAA